GACCGAGGAGGCAAGCGUUAUCCGGAAUUAUUGGGAGUAAAGCGUCCGUAGGUGGUUUGACAAGUCUGGGGUUAAAGCCCGGAGCCCAACUCCGGAUCGGCCCUGGAAACUGUCAGACUUGAGUAAGGAAGGGGUUGCGGGAAUUCCCGGUGUAGCGGUGAAAUGCGUAGAUAUCGGGAAGAACACCAGCGGCGAAAGCGCGCAACUGGGCCAUUACUGACACUGAGGGACGAAAGCUAGGGGAGCGAAUGGG
rnacentral:rRNA from 1 species